AAAUUGAAGAGUUUGAUCAUGGCUCAGAUUGAACGCUGGCGGCAGGCCUAACACAUGCAAGUCGAACGGUAACAGGAAGCAGCUUGCUGCUUUGCUGACGAGUGGCGGACGGGUGAGUAAUGUCUGGGAAACUGCCCGAUGGAGGGGGAUAACUACUGGAAACGGUAGCUAAUACCGCAUAACGUCGCAAGACCAAAGAGGGGGA
rnacentral:rRNA from 1 species